rnacentral:rRNA from 1 species
CCUACGGGAGGCAGCAGUAGGGAAUAUUGCUCAAUGGGGGAAACCCUGAAGCAGCAACGCCGCGUGGAGGAUGAAGGUUUUCGGAUUGUAAACUCCUUUUGUUAGAGAAGAUAAUGAUGGUAUCGAACGAAUAAGCGCCGGCUAACCCCGGGCUAGCAGCCGCGGUAAUACGGAGGGUACAAGCGUUACUCGGAAUCACUGGGCGUAAAGAGCGCGUAGGGGGGCUAGCAAGUCAGAUGUGAAAUCCUCGGGCUUAACCAUAGAACUGCAUUUGAAACGGUUAGUCUUGAGUAUGGGAGAGGUAGGUAGAAUUCUUGGUGUAGCGGUGAAAUGCGUAGAGAUCAGGAGGAAUACUGGUGGCGAAGGCGGCCUGCUGGACCAAAACUGACGCUGAGGCGCGAAAGCGUGGGGAGCAAACAGGAUUAGAUACCCGUGUAGUC